AAGUAAAACAACUGCUCUCAAUUUUUAUCUUCUUCCCAAAAAUACAUCCCACACACCGUUGCCAACUGAGGAGCUUGAACUCCUCCAGGCGGGUAUGAGAAGACAAACAGUGUCUCUUCCAGAAGAUGGUGACCACACAGAGAUUUCAAAGCACCUGGCUAACACAUUUGCAAAAAUGGAGGGUCUUUGUGGGGGAUGGCUCUUGCAUAAGGCAACAGUUGGCAGUGGUCGACGAAAGCUGACUGUCAUUCCACCAGAAGCAGAGGGGUAUUCUGUCAAAGCUCUGCGAGCUGCGUCAUCGUUUUACAUCGUACCACUCCAGGAGACUUUAGACACCUCUCCUCUGCCUUCUGACUCAGAGCAUUUUUCAAAAAUGCCAAAGAAGACAUGCUACCAGUGUAAUGAGGCGAUGCCUUUGCAUAUGCUUGCAGUACAAAUUAAGACAUGCAAGGGAAAACUCACCACAGAUGAGACUGGUGAAGAGUCCUCUGAUGAGUUAUGGGUUGUGUAGAACAAGUGCAAGGUGGUUUGUCCAAUUUGCACCAAAGAAUUCCCAGACGAUGAGAUCACAUUCCAUGCUAGCCUUUGUGGAGAGAGCUUUGAAUCUAUAGUGACUUCUGAAGCAAAUAGCAGUGGCCCAAGUA